rnacentral:rRNA from 1 species
GGGAUUUAUCCCGAGAGGCUCCCAGCAGACCACUGGGUAGAUAGGCCGGAUGUGGAAGAAGGGACGAAAGACCUUCGGAGCUGACCGGUACUAAUAAGCCGAUAACUUGAUAACA